rnacentral:rRNA from 1 species
UACAGAGGGGGCAAGCGUUGUUCGGAAUUACUGGGCGUAAAGGGCGCGUAGGCGGCCAUCUAAGUCAGACGUGAAAUCCCCCGGCUUAACCUGGGAACUGCGUCUGAUACUGGACGGCUUGAGUAUGGGAGAGGGAUGUAGAAUUCCAGGUGUAGCGGUGAAAUGCGUAGAGAUGUGGAGGAACACCGAUGGCGAAGGCAGCCCCCUGGGUCAACACUGACGCUCAUGCACGAAAGCGUGGGGAGCAAACAGG